AGAGAGAGACAUGCGCGCAUAUCAAUAAGCGGAGGAAAAGAAACUUAACAAGGAUUCCCCUAGUAACGGCGAGUGAAGCGGGAAGAGCUCAAAUUUGAAAUCUUAAAGGGUUUCCCUUUACGAAUUGUAGUUUAAAGAAGUGUUUUCUGUUGAGGUUUUGGUAAAAGUUCUUUGGAAUAGGACAUCAUAGAGGGUGAGAAUCCCGUAUUUGACCUUUACUUUCAACUUUGUGAUACACUUUCAAAGAGUCGGAUUGUUUGGGAAUGCAGUCCAAAAUGGGUGGUAAAUUUCAUCUAAAGCUAAAUAUUGGCGAGAGACCGAUAGCGAACAAGUACCGUGAGGGAAAGAUGAAAAGAACUUUGAAAAGAGAGUUAAACAGUACGUGAAAUUGUCAAAAGGGAAGCGUUUGACACCAGUGUUGUUUUUCUGAAAAUCAAUUAAAGAACUGUUUAUGCUAAGUUGUUUAGACUUUAUCAGCUAACUGUUUAGUUUUGAGCUUUUCUUUAAUGCACUUUUCAGUUAACAAGUCAACAUCAAUUUCUUUUGCUGUAAAAAAGCUUGAGGAAGGUGGCUUGAGAUUCGUCUUAAGUGUUUAUAGCCUCUUGCCUAUGCAGUCGGAGAGAUUGAGGUCUGCAGCGUAGAUCCUUCGGGGCUAAAUGCAUUUGUGCUAAGUUAUAGCAUUUUAUAGACAACUUGUUGACUAUGAUUUGUCUUGUAGCUUACUCGCUUAUGUUAUUUUACCUACGCUUAGGAUGUUGACGCAUGAGAUAUACGC
rnacentral:rRNA from 1 species